rnacentral:snRNA from 1 species
UUGUGUGAAGGAUAGUAGUGGAAAUCCUUUUAUGAAGUGCAAACGAAUAAAAGAUUGUAGCGAAUAGCCUGACGGCAA